rnacentral:rRNA from 1 species
UCAGACGAUGCGUCAUGCAUAUCAAUAAGCGGAGGAAAAGAAACUAACAAGGAUUCCCUCAGUAACGGCGAGUGAAGCGGGAAGAGCUCAAAUUUGAAAUCUUGAAAGGUCACCUUUCACGAAUUGUAGUUUAAAGAAGUGUUUUCUGUUACGAUCGUAAUAUAAGUUCUUUGGAAUAGGACAUCACAGAGGGUGAGAAUCCCGUCUAUGAUUGCGAUUUGUAGCUUUGUGAUACACUUUCAAAGAGUCGGGUUGUUUGGGAAUGCAGCCCAAAACGGGAGGUAAAUUUCUUCUAAGGCUAAAUAUUGGCGAGAGACCGAUAGCGAACAAGUACCGUGAGGGAAAGAUGAAAAGAACUUUGAAAAGAGAGUUAAACAGUACGUGAAAUUGUCAAGAGGGAAGCGUUUGACACCAGUGUUGUUUUCUGAAAAUCAACCUCUGUUAGCUUUAUGCAUGUUUGUUUAGACCUAAUCAGCUAUCUUGCAUGUUCUAUUGUUUGCAGUGGUGCACUUUUCAGUUUACAGGUCAACAUCAGUUUUUUUUACCGUAAAAAAGUUAAAGAAAGGUAGCUCAUGGCUCCGGUCGUGAGUGUUAUAGUCUUUUUCCUAUGCGGUAGGAGAGACUGAGGUCUGCAGUGUAGGCUAUUUGGCUAGAUACUCAGGUGCUAUGUGAUACCAUUUCAUAAACAACUUGUUGAUUAUGUUUUGUCUAUUGCAUACUCGCUUGUACUAUCAUACCUACGCUUAGGAUGUUGACUGAUAUGUAGUCGUA